rnacentral:rRNA from 1 species
UCGAACGGCCGCCAGGAAGAGCUUGCUCUCUGGGUGGCGAGUGGCGGACGGGUGAGGAAUACAUCGGAAUCUACCUUUUCGUGGGGGAUAACGUAGGGAAACUUACGCUAAUACCGCAUACGACCUACGGGUGAAAGUGGGGGACCGCAAGGCCUCACGCGAUUAGAUGAGCCGAUGUCCGAUUAGCUAGUUGGCGGGGUAAUGGCCCACCAAGGCGACGAUCGGUAGCUGGUCUGAGAGGAUGAUCAGCCACACUGGAACUGAGACACGGUCCAGACUCCUACGGGAGGCAGCAGUGGGGAAUAUUGGACAAUGGGCGCAAGCCUGAUCCAGCCAUACCGCGUGGGUGAAGAAGGCCUUCGGGUUGUAAAGCCCUUUUGUUGGGAAAGAAAUCCUGUCGAUUAAUACUCGGUGGGGAUGACGGUACCCAAAGAAUAAGCACCGGCUAACUUCGUGCCAGCAGCCGCGGUAAUACGAAGGGUGCAAGCGUUACUCGGAAUUACUGGGCGUAAAGCGUGCGUAGGUGGUGGUUUAAGUCUGCUGUGAAAGCCCUGGGCUCAACCUGGGAAUUGCAGUGGAUACUGGGUCACUAGAGUGUGGUAGAGGGAUGCGGAAUUUCUGGUGUAGCAGUGAAAUGCGUAGAGAUCAGAAGGAACAUCCGUGGCGAAGGCGGCAUCCUGGGCCAACACUGACACUGAGGCACGAAAGCGUGGGGAGCAAACAGGAUUAUAUACCCUGGUA